rnacentral:lncRNA from 1 species
AUGGGACCUCAGCGCACCCGUGAGCCGGCCUGGCUGCAGGGAGAAAACACAGGAGAAGAAAAGGGCGCUUCCCCUCUGCCGGAACGCUGCACACCGGUACCGGCUGCCACCGCACACCGAACUCCCGGACCGCCCGCAGACGCGGCCCCGCCGCUCACUCAGCGCCCCUCGGCCGCGCAUGCGCGGUCUGCGCGGGGUUGGCGGGCCGCCCAGCGGUGCGCGAGUGGCCCUGCCGCUCCUGCCUCGGGGCCGGCCGCGUCUCCUUCCUCCCUCCGCGCCUUCCUCCUCCUCGCCGCGCGGUCUGAGCGCGACCGCUGCUUCUUCCCUGUCUUAGCGCUUGCGGCGGCGACCGCCUCGGCAUUGAAGGGGAAGUGGCAGCGUGGGGCGGGGAGAGGAAGAGAGGAGGACGGCCCUCAGCCGCGCGGCCGUCCCUGCUCCACUCCGGUUCCUGCGGUUCCCGGGGCGGGGAAGGGCCGAGGGGGCAGGGUGAGGCGAGAGCGCAGCUGCCCGGCCCAGGCCGCCGGCCCGUCCCCGCUUGCCGGCCCCAGCGCUCGCCCUGGGGCGGCUUCGGCCUCCGUUCCGCGGCCGCCGGCACGGAGCCUGAGGUGGAACCGGUCCCCGCGGUUCGCGUGGGAGGCGGGGAGGGCGCAGCGAGACCCCCCCCCGGCCCCGUCAGGGCGUUCCGGCGCUGCCGUGGGCUGGCCCGCAGGUGAGGCUCGGGCGGGCGGGAGGCCGCGGGGCGGCGGGCAGGGCGCGGUGGCUCGGCCGGGCCCCGUCAGGUGGGCGGCGGGAAAGGGAACAAUGCCGGCGGGUCCCGCAGCUGCGCUCCGUGCCGAGGGGAAGGGCGGUGCGGCGGGGAGAGAGAAAGGGAAAGGAGGUUGCCCCGAAUCACGGCCGUUGCUGUGCCUAUGCCUUUCUCUCCCUAACUUCCUCGAGGCGCAGCGCUGUAUCUCCGCCGUUUGUCAGGGCGUGUCCCGCCGCAGGGAGGGCCGUGCCGUGCCGUGCUGCUGCCAGGCCGCCGUGCUGCAGCCGGGCCGGGCUCGCUCCCGCGGGUCGCAGCGUGCCGAGGCGGCUCUCUGUGCCCGGUGCUGA